rnacentral:lncRNA from 1 species
AAUUAGAAUUAUUUUCAACUAUUUUAAACUACUUGAAACAAAAUUUUAUUAUUUUUUACAACUUUUUACCUCUGCAUUAAGUCACCUCAAAUUUCCCAAUUUUAAUUAGGAAUGUCAACGGGUCAGAUUCAAGAUGAAUUUUUAAAAAUCUGAGUCCAAACACAACUAUCAAAUCCAAAACCCAAACGCGAACCCGAACUCGAAUCUGAUGAAUUUUAAAAACUUAUAUCCAAAUCCAAAAAUGACCAAAAAUCUAAAACUCAAAAUCCAAAUCUGAACACGAAAAUCCGAACCUGAAACAACUAUUUCUCUUUACAAUAUAUCAAAACAUAUUAUAUUAAAUUUAAACUUUUAAAAUACAAAUUCAAAUAUAACAUCAAACAUAUAUAGCACCACUAUCAUUCUAACCGUAUAUCGCUUCAUCCAAGGGCCGAAAUGUCACACCCCGGGGUUCCUUUUUAAGUUUAAAAACGGUGCGAAAGUGCCCAAAUUUUUUUUUUUUUUUGAAAGCCUUGACCCCAGAGGACAUCAAAUCCGCCGCAAAUACAGAGAAUUUACCGUUCAUACGGACAAAGUCUCACCUGUAUUUACUCGACGUCGCACAAGUAUAAGAUACAACCACAUAGUAUAAACAUUCAUAUACAAUCACCACAUCACAUAUACUAUUCACAUUCAUUUCAUCACCAGUUUAUCAUAAAUCCAUAUCUAUUAGUUUAAAAAGUUUUCCACUCAAAAACUUAUUUUGAAAUACUAAGAAUCAUGAAAUCAGAAAAACUCUUUUUAAAAUCGUUUCCACACGAAAAUAUUUUCCUUUAAAGAAAACAUGCUACCACGAGGGGUAGAAAACCGUUUUCAUCUCAUAAGAAAACCAUAAGUACAAUAUUACUUUCAUAAAACUAUAUUUGUCCAAAUAAAAUAAAACCAGCUAAACCAUAAUAUCUA